rnacentral:rRNA from 1 species
GACGAACGCUGGCGGCGUGCCUAAUACAUGCAAGUCGAACGCAGUGGGGACGGGUGAGUAACACGUGGGUAACCUCCCAUCAGAGGGGAUAACACUUGGAAACAGGUGCUAAACCGAUACUGAUGGAUGGACCCGCGGUGUAUUAGCGAGGUGGUGAGGUAACGGCUCACCAAGGCCACGAUGCAUAGCUGGCCGGAGAGGAUGAGCGGCCACACUGGAACUGAGACACGGCCCAGACUCCUACGGGAGGCAGCAGUAGGGAAUAUUGGACAAUGGACGAAAGUCUGACCGAGCAACGCCGCGUGAGUGAAGAAGGUUUUCGGAUCGUAAAACACUGUUAUUAGGGAAGCGGUAGCUAACCAGAAAGCCACGGCUAACUACGUGCCAGCAGCCGCGGUAAUAC